rnacentral:lncRNA from 1 species
GGUGGUGGUUGUGGCUUUGGAACUGGAGGAGGUUUGUAUACUGGAGCAGGUGGUAGAACUGGAUGUUCAACCUUUGGUGGUGGACAUGGUUUCUUGACUGGAACAGGAGGAGGAAGAGGUUUAUGAUAUACAGGCGUAGGUGGAGGGAGAGGUUUAUGAUAAACAGGCACAGGUGGAGGAAGAGGUUUCUCAUACACAGGUGUAGGUGGAGGGAGAGGUUUAUGGUAAACAGGCACAGGCGGAGGAAGAGGUUUCUCGUAGACAGGUGUAGGUGGAGGAAGAGGUUUCUCAUAAACAGGUGUAGGAGGAGGGAUAGGUUUUUCAUAGAUAGGCACAGGUGGAGGACAAGGUUUCUUGUAGAUAGGAAUAUGAGGAAAGGGAGGUUUGUAAAUAGGAAUAUGAGAAAAUGGAGGUUUCUUGUAGAUAGGAACAGGAGGAAAAAGAGGGUGUUUAUGGAAAAUCUUUGGUGGAAAUGUUGGAAAAACUUUAGGGGGAAAUUGAGGUAAAUCAGGAUGAGGAAGCUUAGGAAAAAGAGGAUGUUUGAAGAGAGGCCAAAAGAAUUUGGAG